GACUUCGUGGUGUAAUGUUACAAACACGCCUGCGUUGGGUAAGAGAGAGACAUAGUGGAAGCAGGAGUUCCUUGUUCGAAUCAAGGCUGGGUCA